UAAUACAGAGACCUCAAGCGUUAUCCGGAUUCAUUGGGCGUAAAGCGUCCGCAGGUUGCUGCAUAAGUCAAUUGUCAAAUCUUCGGGCUCAACCCGGAGACUGCGAUUGAAACUAUACAGCUAGAGGCUGGGAGAGGUAAGCGGAAUUCUCGGUGUAGUCGUAAUAAGCGCUGAUAUCGAGAGGAACACCAAAGGCGAAGGCAGCUUACUGGAACAAGCCUGACACUCAGGGACGAAAGCGUGGGGAGCGAAUCGG
rnacentral:rRNA from 1 species